rnacentral:rRNA from 1 species
ACCAGACUCCUACGGGAGGCAGCAGUGGGGAAUAUUGCACAAUGGAGGAAACCCUGAUGCAGCGACGCCGCGUGAGUGAAGAAGUAUUUCGGUAUGUAAAGCUCUAUCGGCAGGGAAGAAGAUGACGGUACCUGACUAAGAAGCCCCGGCUAACUACGUGCCAGCAGCCGCGGUAAUACGUAGGGGGCAAGCGUUAUCCGGAUUUACUGGGUGUAAAGGGAGCGUAGACGGCAUGGCAAGUCAGAUGUGAAAGCCCGGGGCUCAACCCCGGGACUGCAUUUGAAACUGUCAGGCUGGAGUGCAGGAGAGGUAAGUGGAAUUCCUAGUGUAGCGGUGAAAUGCGUAGAUAUUAGGAGGAACACCAGUGGCGAAGGCGGCUUACUGGACUGUAACUGACGUUGAGGCUCGAAAGCGUGGGGAGCAAACAGGAUUAGAUACCCCAGUA